rnacentral:rRNA from 1 species
UGCUGGCGGAUGCUUUACAUGUAAGUCGAACGGCAGCACGGACUUCGGUCUGGUGGCGAGUGGCGAACGGUAUGGCCAUCGGAACGUGCUCAUGGAAGCGGGGAUAACUACGUGAAAGCGAAGCAUUACCGCAUACCCCUUCGGGGAAAGCGGGGGACUUUCGGGCCUCGCACUAUUAGAGCGGCCGAUAUCGGAUUAGCUAGUUGGUGGGGUAACGGCUCACCAGGCGACGAUCCAGCUGGUUUGAGGACGACCAGCCACACUGGACUGAGACACGGCCCAGACUCCUACGGAGGCAGCAGUGGGGAAUUUUGACAAUGGGGGGAAACUCCCGAUCCAGCCAUCCCGCGUGUGCGAUGAAGGCCUUUGCCAGGAAGCACUUUUGCAGGAAGAAACGGCACGGGAUAAUACCCUCGUGCAACUGACGGUACCUGCAGAAUAAGCACUGGCUAACUACGUGCCAGCAGCUGCGGUAAUACGUAGGGUGCAAGCGUUAAUCGGAAUUACUGGGCGUAAAGCGUGCGCAGGCGGUUCUGGAAAGAAAGAUGUGAAAUCCCAGAGCUUAACUUUGGAACUGCAUUUUUAACUACCGAGCUAGAGGUGCUGAGGGAGGUGGAAUUCCGCGUAGCAGUGAAAUGCGUAGAUAUGCGGAGAACACCGAUGGCGAAGGCAGCUCUCUGGGAUAACACUGACGCUCAUGGUCGAAAGCGUGGGGAGCAAACAGGAUUAGAUACCCUGGUAGUCCACGCCCUAAACGAUGUCAACUAGCUGCUGGGGUCACCGGUAUGCAGCUUAACGCGGAAGUUGACCGCCUGUGAGUACGGUCGUAAGAUUAAAACUCAAAGGAAUUACGGGACCCGCACAAGCGGUGGAUGAUGUGGAUUAAUCUGAUGCAACGCGAAAACCUUACCUACCUUUGACAUGUCUGGAAUCCUGAAGAGAUUUGGGGAGUGCUCGCAAGAGAACCGAACACAGGUGCUGCAUGGCUAAUGUCAGCUCGUGUCGUGAGAUGUUGGGUUAAGUCCCGCAACGAGCGUAGCAACCCUGUCAUUAGUUGCUACGAAAGGGCAAUCUAAUGAGACUGCCGGUGACAAACUGGAGGAAGGUGGGGAUGACGUCAAGUCCUCAUGGCCCUUAUGGGUAGGGCUUCACACGUCAUACAAUGGUCGGGACAGGGUCGCCAACCCGCGAGGGGGAGCCAAUCCCAGAAACCCGAUCGUAGUCCGGAUCGCAGUCUGCAACUCGACUGCGUGAAGUCGGAAUCGCUAGUAAUCGCGGAUCAGCAUGUCAGGGAAUACGUUCCCUGGGUCUGGUAUAUAAUUCUCGCCCGUCACACCAUGGGAGUGGGUUUUACCAGAAGUAGUUAGCCUUAAUCCGUAAGGAGGGCGAUUACCACGGUAGGAUUCAUGACUGGGGUGGGUCGUAUGGCGGUAAC